rnacentral:misc_RNA from 1 species
GAUGAAGAACGCAGCGAAAUGCGAUAAGUAGUGUGAAUUGCAGAAUUCCGUGAAUCAUCGAAUCUUUGAACGCACAUUGCGCCUUCUGGUAUUCCGGAAGGCAUGCCUGUUCGAGAGUCAUUAACAACCGUUUCGAUCCCUUUCUUUCAGAAAUUACAAAGAGGAAAAGGGUUUGGUUAUGGUGGAGGAGGGAAGGGGAGCGUUUAGCCUGUAAAAAAAGAGGCUGUGUUCCGCCUCCCCCCCAAAAUUGUACAGGCGGUCGUGUGCGCCCACGCAUCGAGGUGUUGUAAAAGCUGCCACGGCACUUUUCACCUGUGCAGUGCGAGAUUGGCCAGCCGGUUUAAAAACCCCUCCAAACAAUCAAAGGUUGACCUCGGAUCAGGUAGGGAUACCCGCUGAACUUAAGCAUAUCAAUAAGCGGAGGA